GGCCCUAUCGUCUAAUGGUCAGGACAGCGGCUUUUCAAGCCGUUAAUCGGGGUUCAAUUCCCCGUGGGGCUA
rnacentral:tRNA from 1 species